rnacentral:lncRNA from 1 species
GUACUGUAAUAUACAAACAUUAUACUAUAACACACAGGUACUGUAUAUAACAACAUUAGAAAAAAGUUGAGGUUUGAAUACUUCCCGAAGGCACAAUAUGUCUAAGAUAAUAUUAAACAGUUUGAUUAUAACUUUUCUGAUGUUUUUCUCUUGUGUUUUUCAAGCUAGGGGCUCUACCCCAUCCUCCUCUCCUCCCAAAGCCCUCCCUCCCCCCUCUCUCUCCUCCUCUCUCUGUCUGUCUCUGGGUUGGUGGCUUUCUCUCCAUCUCUCUGAUCAUUCUACUGGUCCUGUUCUGCAAGAGGAACAAAGAUGUAGCUGCUGAACCCAGAGAUGUUACGUAUGCUGAUGUUAGAAUCAUACAGGACCCAGAACCCAGGAGAAGGAGAGAGAAGUCUCCAGGAGCUGAUCCAGUCUACUCUGCAGUGAAGACCUCCAACACCACAUUUCCAGGUGGAUCUGGUCCAGGUGAUGUGACCUAUGCUGACAUCAACCACACAGAGAAGAGACAACACAACAGGAGGAGAGGUCGUUCCAGACCCUGUCUACUCAGCAGUGAAGACAGAGAGAGAUACAGGUCAAAAGGUCGUUCCAGACCCUGUCUACUCAGCAUGAAGCCAGGACCGGACAGACACGAGAUACAGGUCAGAAGGUCGUUACAGACCCUGUCUAUCUCACGUGUGAAGGACAGACAGCAGGCACAGACAGACAGAGCAGGACAGACAGACAGACAGACCGACAGACAGACACGACCGACAGACAGACAGACAGACAGACAGACAGACAGACAGAAGACAGACAGACAGACGGACAGACAGACAGACACAGACAGACAGACAGACAGACAGACAGACAGCUACUUAGAUUGGCUUUACAGCACGUUUGACAGAUCUAUAACAUAAUUCUAUGUGGAUUAGUGGGUUACUCAAAAGGGUUAGAUAUUGCCAUUUUAACAGAUGUAAUCUGUGUGAUACUUUAGUUAGCUGUAUCGGAUCCGGGACUGGUACAGACUCGUAUCAGAUCACUGUAUAUACCCUAUGUACAGACGGAUGUCCCGAUCACUGUAUCACUAACCCUAAUGUACAACUGAGGUUAGGUCCAGAUCACUGCAUCACUAACCCUAAUGUACAGACUGAGGUAGGUCAUCAAGAUCAUGUAUCACUAACCCUAAUGUACAGACUGAGGUAGGUCCAGAUCACUGUAUCACUAACCCUAAUGUACAGACUGAGGUAGGUCCAGAUCACUGUAUCACUAACCCUAAUGUACAGAUGAGUGUCCACACUGAUCACUACCCCUUAAUGCUAGACUAGGUA